rnacentral:lncRNA from 12 species
CUGCUGAAUGCUUUUAAUGUGCUAAAUGCCUUCAACUCAUUGACCAUGCAAGGCAGCCUUUACACAGGCAUAAGUACAUACGCUCACAAUUUCACAGUCUCUCUUAGUUCUGUGUUUUCCACCCUCAAAGUUCAAAGCAUAAUUUCUACGCUGUUGACAAAUCGAACCAUUUACAGUCUCAGUGUUAAGUCACUAGGUAAAACACUGCAACCACACCAAUAUUUUUGGUCAAUAUGUUUGAUCUAUCCAGCCAUUCCUACCCAUCUUUUUACUAACAGUAUUUUAUUUUUUUAUUUGCAGGCAUGGUAUACAUGGAGGCACCUACAGGAAAAGUGUGUUACAAUUCAAGACAACAGCUGAACUGUACCAGUAUAGAGGCUAUGAGCAAGUGCGUGUGGCAGAUGUCCAGAGAUGAUGAAGCGACAUUGACUCUGGGACCAGGGAGUGAAGUACAGCUGUCAGAUACUUGUACAGAACUCUCAACAGUCACUCUUCUAAAGACAAAUGGAUUCUGGUCAGGAACAUACAUCUGCCUUUUCGUCGCUGGGAACAUAGCUCACAUGGCCAUGGCACCCAUUCAAAUUGCACUUCUGCCAGAGGUCAUUAAUGUGACAAGCAAUCCACAAACUGCAGAUUGUUCUGCAUCAUCAUCCACCAAAGUUAGCAUCUUAUGUUCCAUCGAAAACAGCACUGAAACCUACAAAGCCAUGCUAAAACUCGGACCUGCUGAAAUUGCACCACUUAAAGAAGGUAAGGCUAUAAUUAUCUUAUAAAUCUCUCUUUUGUUGGAACAAGAAGCUGACGUUUUAUUAUCUUGGUUGCACUUUAUUUUACAGUACGUGUACUUACAUGUACUUAUAGUGUACUUACAAUGUAUUUAUCUAAGAACGUUAUGGUAAUACAAGGUAAGUACAUGGGGUAGGGUUAGGUUUAGGGGUAGGUUCAGGGUUAGUACCUAGUUAUUACAUAGUUAUUGUAAUUACUAAAAUAAGUACAUAGUAUGUACAUGAGGAACAGGACUGUAAAAUAAAGUGCUACCAUUAUCUUUAUAAAGCAAAUAAUCAACUGAGUCUGCAAGUCACAUAACAUUUAUAUUAUUUUUAUAUAAACAUAUGUAAUUGACAGUUUUUGUAAUUGAGCAAUUUACCAAGUAUUGCAAAUGUAAACCUGUUCUAAGUCAAGCAUUAUUAAAAUGUGUAAAAUUCUCUCUCUCUCUUUUUUUUUUUUUGCAGAGAACAAUGGAAUAAUCAAAUAUACAGCAGAUUUCACUGUUGAUUGUCAGGCAGAAGGCAAACCAAGUUCACUUGAGGCCAGCUGCACUUUAGAGAACUCUUUGAAUCAGCUGCGAAAUCACACAAUAAGAGUACCAAUCAUUUACCGUAAGUACUGAAAAUCAUGCUCUGCUAUUGCAAAAGAAUACCAUUGUACAAAACCCCUUGGUGACUGGUAAAGUAAAAAUCUAAUGUUUGGAUGAUUCAUUUGUUUGUUUGUUUGUGUGUUUGUUUGUUUUUACAGCCAGUGACCUGUUUUGUGCAGAGGAAGAAAUUCAAGGGAGAAAAUGGCCAAAAACAAAGAAUAAUGAAACAGCCAUUAUAGAUUGUACUG